GUACAUGCAAGUUGUUUGAGGAAUUGCCAUGAAAAAAGUAGAAUUCAAACUGCACUGUAACUUCAAUAUGUGGCAUGAAGCAAGAAAACAAGAAAAGAAGAUAAGAGGAAUUAUGGUAGACUACAAGAAAAGAGCUGAAAGGAGGAGAGAAUAUUAUGAAAAAAUUAAAUUAGAUCCAGCACAGUUUUUGCAAGUUCAUGGCCGACCUUGUAAGAUUCAUUUAGAUCCUACUGUGGCCCAAGCUGCUGACAGCCCUGCCACCAUGAUGCCCUGGCAAGGCCAGACUGACACAAUGAUCGACAGGUUUGAUGUCAGAGCUCACCUUGAUCACAUCACUGAAUACAUAUCUCCUGUUGAGUCUAUCAGGCUUUCUGAAGGAGAAAUGGAAGAAGAAAGACUGAUUAAUUAUGAAAGAUACCGUACACUGGUUCAAAAUGAAUUUUUAGGAGUUACUGAAGAUAAGUUCUUACAUCAGAUUUACCUGGAAGAAAGGUUUGGACCUAUUAUUAAACCAGGAGUUGAAGAGGAAAAGAAAAAAUUAGCUGAAAAGAAGGUUGCUAUAGGAUAUACAUAUGAGGACAGUACUCCUCAAGCAUCAACUUUCACCAGAAAAGAUGAGGAAGAAGAAGAAGAAGAGAAAGACGAUGAUGAUGAUGAUUUGAGUGACAUUGACUUAGAUGUUGGAAUUAAUGUUGAAGAGUUGACUGUGGAGCAGUGUACUGAGAUGAAUGCCUGUUCCACAAAAUAUGGCAUGAAAGGAAAUGAUUACAUCAGUUUUCUGCAUGAGGAUAGAGAAGAAGCAGAACAGAUUCGGCAGGCUAGAGAACUGGAAGAAGAAAAGGCUCUGUAUUCUGGAAGAAAGUCACGUCGAAAAAGACGAGCUCUUCGAGAGAAGGAACUUCAAGGAAGAAGAAUAACUAGUCCUCCAAGUUAUGCUGCGAGAGAGAGUCCAACAUACAAGCCAUAUGCAAAAUCUCACUCCAGCUCACGCUCUCGGUCACGAUCUCCCAUCAAUGCUGGAGAAAUAACCUACAUUACCAGUUUUGGUGGAGAAGGAACAGAUGAGGACCGUGGAAGAGCAUCGGGAUUAUCUAAACAGAAGAGAUCUUCCACCACCCGUAGACACCAUCAUUCAGGGUCCAAGUCUGGCAAACACUCAGACAGGAACUCUCGGUCUCAGAAGAAAGACUCUCCAGCCAGGAAAAUCAUAGGACCUGAUCUACCAAGUGGUAGAUCUCAUAGAGGAAGGAGGUCACAUAAUUCACGCUCGCCUUCAAGGUCCUCAAGGCACUCUUCAGCAAGUUCUUGGUCGUCUCGAAGUUCAUCCAGGCACCACCGGAGAAAGCAUAAAGUUUGGAGGCGAGAUGAAACAAGAAAUAGACAUAGACGAACUAAUAGAAGGAGGUCUCGUUCUAGAUCAUCAUCUUACAGCUCUCGGUCUAGAUCAAGGUCUCGUAAUCAAAGAAGAAGAAGAAGAAAAAGUAUCUCUACUUCUAGAUCCAGAUCACACUCUCGAACAAGGUGGAGAUCGAGGUCUAAAUCUUCUUCUCGUUCACGAUCAAACAUAAAGCACAAAGGGCAAUCAAAUUCUAAGUCUCGUUCAAAGACUCCAACUCGUGAUUCACAAGAAGACCAACCAGUAAAGUUACCAAGUCCGCCACGUAAGACUUACUAUCGUCCCAGCUUGUCUCGUUCUGGCAGUGAAUUGUCAGAAACCAGUGAUACUGAAAUAUCUGACAAGUCCAGCACCAAAAUGUCUACAAUACCGGGAGCCAAACCUGUUCCCACACUGGGUAAAGCUGUUCCUGCCACCAAAGUCACAGUCGAAGCUGACUCCACAAGAAAAACUUAAACGAAAAAUGCAAGCUUUACUUAAUAAGCAGUAUAAAGCUGAUAAACGAGCACAACAGGAGAAACAAGAAAAACAAGAGCAAGAGAGACAGGACAGGGCUGAGGAGCUUCGGGAAAUGGCCAUCCGGCUAAGACAAAA
rnacentral:misc_RNA from 1 species